GGAGAAUUGCUUGAACCUGGGAGGUGGAGGUUGCAGUGAGUCGAGAUCGUGCCAUUGCACUCCAGCCUGGGUGACAAGAGUGAAACUCUCUCUCAAAAAAAAAAAAAAAAAGAGAGAGAGAAAAGAAAACCUUUUUCCAGAAGUUCCCACAUACCAUCUGGAACAGUCUCUGGCACAUGUUCAAUAAAUGUUGGCUGUAACUGCUGCUCUCCUCCAAGAGCUUGGUGAGACACUGUAGCUUCCUCUCUGGAGCUGAGAGAGACGUGCAUGGCGGGGCGGGGGCUGUAGAGAAGGAAGUCUUCCAUCGUUACAAUGAGGAUGGGGGAGAGCGGGGUAGAGAGACAGGGAACAGCUUCCAGAGAAGGAAGAUGGGUUUGGCAGGCAAGACAAUAGGUGUCCACUUCUAGGGAGGUGUGAACAAGGUAUCAAUCAACCACUAUGUAGUGAGUACCUGCUGUGUUCAAAGCAAUGCGUG
rnacentral:lncRNA from 10 species